rnacentral:rRNA from 1 species
UAGCGUAGGGUGCAAGCGUUAAUCGGAAUUAGCUAGGGCGUAACGUGCGCAGGCGGCGCGUUAAGACGGUAGUCGAAAGCCCCGAGAGCUUUAACUUGGGAAUUGCGCUUGUGACUGGCGUGCUGGAGUGUGGCAGAGGGAGGUGGAAUUCCACGUGUAGCAGUGAAAUGCGUAGAGAUGUGGAGGAACACCGAGUGCGAAGGCAGCCUCCUGGGCCAGCACAUGACGCUCGAUACACGAAAGCGUGGGGAGCAAACAGG